UCUUGGAAAGUUGCCCAGAUA
rnacentral:piRNA from 1 species